GAUGAACGCUGGCGGCGUGCCUAAUACAUGCAAGUCGAGCGAACGGACGAGAAGCUUGCUUCUCUGAUGUUAGCGGCGGACGGGUGAGUAACACGUUGAUAACCUACCUAUAAGACUGGGAUAACUUCGGGAAACCGGAGCUAAUACCGGAUAAUAUUUUGAACCGCAUGGUUCAAAAGUGAAAGACGGUCUUGCUGUCACUUAUAGAUGGAUCCGCGCUGCAUUAGCUAGUUGGUAAGGUAACGGCUUACCAAGGCAACGAUGCAUAGCCGACCUGAGAGGGUGAUCGGCCACACUGGAACUGAGACACGGUCCAGACUCCUACGGGAGGCAGCAGUAGGGAAUCUUCCGCAAUGGGCGAAAGCCUGACGGAGCAACGCCGCGUGAGGGAUGAAGGUCUUCGGAUCGUAAAACUCUGUUAUUAGGGAAGAACAUAUGUGUAAGUAACUGUGCACAUCUUGACGGUACCUAAUCAGAAAGCCACGGCUAACUACGUG
rnacentral:rRNA from 1 species